AUUGAACGCCGGCGGCAGGCUUAACACAUGCAAGUCGAGCGGGGGAAGGUAGCUUGCUACCGGACCUAGCGGCGGACGGGUGAGUAAUGCUUAGGAAUCUGCCUAUUAGUGGGGGACAACAUCUCGAAAGGGAUGCUAAUACCGCAUACGUCCUACGGGAGAAAGCAGGGGAUCUUCGGACCUUGCGCUAAUAGAUGAGCCUAAGUCGGAUUAGCUAGUUGGUGGGGUAAAGGCCUACCAAGGCGACGAUCUGUAGCGGGACUGAGAGGAUGCUCCGCCACACUGGGACUGCGACACGGCCCAGACUCCUACGGGAGGCAGCAGUGGGGAAUAUUGGACAAUGGGGGGAACCCUGAUCCAGCCAUGCCGCGUGUGUGAAGAAGGCCUUAUGGUUGUAAAGCACUUUAAGCGAGGAGGAGGCUACUCUAGUUAAUACCUAGGGAUAGUGGACGUUACUCGCAGAAUAAGCACCGGCUAACUCUGUGCCAGCAGCCGCGGUAA
rnacentral:rRNA from 1 species